GGGGUUGUAGCUCAGUGGUAGAGCGCUUGCCUCACAUGCAUGAAGCACUGGUUUGAUCCUCAGCACCA
rnacentral:tRNA from 1 species